UAUACAAGGACAAGCUCUCUGU
rnacentral:miRNA from 1 species